AAUAUUGGUCAAUGGAGGCAACUCUGAACCAGCCACGUCGCGGGAAGGAUGACGGCCCUACGGGUUGUAAACCGCUUUCAGUGGGGACGAACCAAGACGGUACCCACAUAAGAAGCCCCGGCCAACUACGUGCCAGCAGCCGCGGUAACACGUAGGGGGCAAGCGUUGUCCGGAUUUAUUGGGCGUAAAGAGCUCGUAGGUGGCUCAGUAAGUCGGGUGUGAAACCUCCAGGCUCAACCUGGAGACGCCACCCGAUACUGCUGUGGCUAGAGUCCAGUAGGGGAGCGUGGAAUUCCUGGUGUAGCGGUGAAAUGCGCAGAUAUCAGGAGGAACACCAGUGGCGAAGGCGGCGCUCUGGGCUGGAACUGACACUGAGGAGCGAAAGCGUGGGGAGCAAACAGG
rnacentral:rRNA from 1 species